rnacentral:rRNA from 1 species
UACGAAGGGGGGCUAGCGUUGCUCGGAAUCACUGGGCGUAAAGGGUGCGUAGGCGGGUCUUUAAGUCAGGGGUGAAAUCCUGGAGCUCAACUCCAGAACUGCCUUUGAUACUGAAGAUCUUGAGUUCGGGAGAGGUGAGUGGAACUGCGAGUGUAGAGGUGAAAUUCGUAGAUAUUCGCAAGAACACCAGUGGCGAAGGCGGCUCACUGGCCCGGUACUCGACGCUGAGGUGCGAAAGCGUGGGGAGCAAACAGGG